rnacentral:lncRNA from 1 species
UUAAAGAAAGAAAAAUAAGAAAAUAAAAGCAGCAAAUGGUUGGAUAUUUUUAGAAAGACGGUAAACAAUUUAUUACUUUUAUAAUAAAUUAUUCAUUAUAUUUUUAAAAAUAAUAAAUAAUUUAUUAAUUUUGGUAUAAUUAUAUAGGAAUAAUUGUUUAUAUACCUUUUAAAACUUCGAAAAUAUCUAAUCUUUCGAAUAUACCCCUCAUAUAUUUCUCCGUUGUUCUAAAAUACUCAAUACAGUCACCACCCAUUAAGUUAAUUUGGAUUAAAUAUGAAUUAAAAAUCCACCACUUACCAGAAUUAAAAAGAAAAUACCUUUUUUGUCCUUAACUUAAGGACAAAAAGAAAUAUUAAUGAUGGUAAAAGAAUAUCUAUAUCUAUAUCUAUCUAUAUCUAUAUCUAUAUCUAUACUAUAUAUAAAAGCGUAUAGAAAUUCCGACAAUGACAGACGGAAUCCAAAAAGGAAUAAAAAAAUAUUCCCUACGAAUGAUUAUGAUCUUUUUGUUAAAAAUAUCCCAAAUAAGAACGAAUGGUUAUGAUCAAUCUAUUAAAUCUCUACUAAAUAUUAAAAUCUAUUCCCUAUAAAUAGUUAUGAUUAAUUUGUUAAAAAAAUAUUUCAAAAAAGAACAACUAUGAUCAAUUUAUUUAAAAAUAGCAUUCCUAUCCAUCUAUAAAUUCAAUCCUACGUUUAUAAUCAAUUUGUUAAAAAAUAUCUCAAAUAAAAAUAAAUGGUUAUGAUCAAUUUGUUAAAAAAAUAACAUUCCUAUUAAUCUAUUUUACAUUAAAAUUAAAAUUUGAGUUUAAAUUAUAAAUUAAAUUUAAUUAAUUUUUUAUAUCAAAUUUGAAUUAAUAAUUAAUUUUUUUGUUACAGUGGAUCAAAAUUAAAUUUUAAAUUUUAAAGUAAAUGUGAAUUAAAUUUU